AUUGAACGCUGGCGGCAUGCCUUACACAUGCAAGUCGAACGGCAGCACGGGGCAACCUGGUGGCGAGUGGCGAACGGGUGAGUAAUGCAUCGGAACGUGCCAUUGAGUGGGGGAUAACGUAGCGAAAGUUGCGCUAAUACCGCAUAUUCUGUGAGCAGGAAAGCAGGGGACCGCAAGGCCUUGCGCUCUUUGAGCGGCCGAUGUCAGAUUAGCUAGUUGGUGAGGUAACGGCUUACCAAGGCGACGAUCUGUAGCGGGUCUGAGAGGAUGAUCCGCCACACUGGAACUGAGACACGGUCCAGACUCCUACGGGAGGCAGCAGUGGGGAAUUUUGGACAAUGGGCGCAAGCCUGAUCCAGCCAUGCCGCGUGAGUGAAGAAGGCCUGGUUGUAAGACUCUUCGGUCCGGGAA
rnacentral:rRNA from 1 species